UCGCCCCGGGCCAGUCUCCACACUCAGCGGGGAGUCUGCUUGAGACUCUUUCUCCCUCUCCCUCUGCCCCUCCCCCCUGCUCUGUAAAUAAAAUAAAUAAAUAAAAUCUUUUUUUAAAAAGUGCUUAAUUCAAAGCCAAAAUAGUACAUGCCAUUCAUUCAUAUUUAUAUAAAUCAUACAUACAUUCUGUAACCUUUUUAAUUUUUAUGAUAGGAUAUGAAGCUUGAAGGUAUGUUUUAACAGGGAAUAAUGAAUACACAUGACUCCACCAUUCUGUUCUAAGAAUAUUAACAGAAACUUAGAUACACCCCUUGGUCCCUCCACACGUCCACCUUCCUGUCCGCUUCACAGCUGUCCUGGGAUUAUCACUACCCUGACGUUAUCACUCCAUUACUUUUCUUUAGAGCUUUACCGCAUGUGGAUAUGUCCCCAGACAGUUAUGGGGAACAUUACAAUUUGUCUCUUAGUAUUAAUUUAUUCUGUCUCCCGAGUUUUGCCAGCACAUACAGCUGCCUAGGAUAAAGAACGCCCUUCCCAGCCUCCUCUGCAGCUAGAGCGGCUUCACGCUACUGCUUGCAAUGUGCGCCAUGCGGACUGCGGUGGGAGUGCACAGCAAGCUAGAAGGAGCCCGGAUCCCUGGACACCAUCACGGAGCAGAGCCGCCGCCCCAGCCCCUGACUGCUUCCUCCAUACUGCUCCGCGAGGGAGAGACAAACCACCCCGUUUAAGCCAUUGUUACUUUGGACUGUGCUGCACGAGACCAAAGAUCUGUACGGUGAGAGCCACUUCAGCUGGUUUCUGCGUCCUUCGCUGUGUCCCUGUCAUUGUCCGAGCACUUUUUUUGCUUUCUGCUCCGUAAGAUGUCCCCGGCUCCCCGUGUACUUUUGCUGCCAUCAGUCAUGUCUCCAAGGAGCCCUGGUUCCUUCCCGUGGAGAACGGCAAUAGAAGGCAAGAUCUGAAGCCUGGUGUGCUCGCAGCCACGGGAUGCCGGUGCUCCUGGGCACGUCGGUGGCAAUGCUCGGAGGUUGGUGAGCCUGUACCACACAUCACGUCCAGAUGUCUGCCUCAGCCUGUCUGUAGAGACUGAAAGCCACAGGUUCACAGCACGACCUUCAGACACUCCUGGAGGUCCAGGGCCUAGAUGCCCCCUUUCUGGAUUAGUAACUCUCUGGUUGAUGCUCUCCCACCUCAUUUGGGCUCCAGUACCCUCCCCUUGGCUGGCUUCACCCCCACCCGGACCCCCGCCCGAUCCGCGUCGUUCUGGGCGGCCUCCCCACCGCCCAAACCCGGCUGGCACAGACGUGCUCCUCACCCUGCCCUGCCCAGAGUUUUUAGGACUGAGGCGUAAGUCAGGGAAAGGAAGGGUGGAGAAAGGAAGCGCUGUGGCUAUUUUUGACCCCGCACCCCGUCCACACUUACUACCCCCACAUGAGAUCAAUCACUACGGCUGAUGGGAUGCCCACAUCCCAUGGGAGACAUCUGUGGCUUCUGGAACACCAAGGCUGUGUGACCCCAGCCACGUUCAUGAACCUCUCUGAGCCUGCUCUGGGGCACCCACCAGAGUGGCAGCUCUAAGGGCGGCAACUCUCCAUUAGAUUUCUGGAGACGACAGUUGUGGGCACUGUCUGGGGAAGGAGGAGGCUGGGUGUGGAUCCUGACUCUGGGGGCUGCCAACCUCCAUGUUUGAAAAGAGAGGGAUGCUGACACUUGUCUGUGGUGAGGUAAGGACCCUGUCCCUCCCAUGCUGUGGGGGUCCACUUCGCCAGGGGCGUUUCUCUGCCCUCCUUGCCCUCCAGCUCCCCCAACCUCGAUCCUCACCGAGGACACGAAGGGGCCCAGCCUGGGUUCAGUCCCCGUGGAAGCUCCGGCUGCUUCGGAGAAGGUUCUAGGAGAGCCGGCGGCAGGCAGGCCCGGGCCAGGGGGCAGGGUCAGUCCUCCGUGUUUGUGAGUGGACAACAGAGUCGAUGACCCCACCCUGGGCUUCCUUGUGAAGGGGCACGUAACGUCCGGCGAGGACUGGCCCUUCUCUCCCGGACGGUGUCGUCACUGGGCAAUUCUCUGCUUUUUCAUCUGUCUCCAGCUUCCAAACUGGAGGAACGAUGGGAGGCUGGGAUGGCCCCUCAGAAGUCAGUGCCAGGGACCCCGGGGAGGAGGGCGUGGGCUUGCAGCUGUUGGGGAGCCUUGCGUGGGGCCUGGCAGGCAGGGCUUCCGUGUUCCCUCCAGCCCAGUGGCUGCUCUGUCUAGACGCUACAGUUCCCAUCCCCACCCUGGAGGUUCCCCCUUUCAGACUGCCUGCAGCAGCAGAUCCUCGAGGCGGCCCCAAACCCAGGGAGGUGUCUGGUGGAAGGAUGGGGGAAGCCCAGGCCUGAUGGCUCCGUUCCUGCCUCCCGCUGUGUAUACAACCCCACAGCCGUAAAACUGACAACAGGCCCAGCGGACAGGAAUAGAUCCCAUUGAGGACCCCUCUAUGGGUCGCCAUUGGAAUGCACCAGUCCCCUCCCACAGCCAAGCAAGACCAGCGCCACAUCCCAGGGGCAGCAGCCUCACAGAAUGACCGGCGGCGCACGUAGUCUCCAGAGGCGACCCCCCAGCACGCACACUUGCUUGGCCUUCAUUUCCUGGGUGAGGGCAGGGCUGGGGCCGGCUGGGCCUUGGUGAGGUUUGAGCAGCAGAUGGAAUGUGGUCCCCUCCACCAGCCCUGGGUGUUUGCCCUGGGCGCUUCCCCAUGUACCCUCCUCCGAUUCUUUCCCUGGCCCCUUCGGUAGGGGAGGGGAGGCCCGUAAGUUGGGGGAGACCCAGGCUAGCCCUGGGUGAACAUGCAUGCCUCUGUCGGUGUCCCCAGGUUAGGGAUACCCAGAGCCCAGAUGGGGCUGGGUGCAGGGGGCUGGAUGGCCUGGCUUUGGGGGUCUGUCCUUGUCCCCAGGUCCAGAAGCUGCUACCCAAGGGUUUUUCCCAGAGCUCAGACUGUGGUCACCCCCUGGUGGCUCAGGUUCUGGGGGGCAGGGGGGCGAGGCCCAGGCUGUGCUGGGCAGGCUGGGCUCCCAGGAGAGGAGGACCAGAGAGCUGCUCUGGCCCCCUAGGCUGGGCGGGCCUGGGAGAGCCAGGGGUUGGGGCAUGCCUGGGGUCCGAGACACUGGUCAUCCACUGAGACACUGAGCAGGGGUCUCUCACUGGGGAAGGGCACCCCCAUCUCCUCACAGCCUGGCCCCGAUGCCCUCUCUCUGCCCUCCUGGGGGCCUUGCUGGGGAGAUUACCCCAGGGUGCCUGGUGGGGGCGGCCAAGGGGUGUUUUCCACAAGCAAGUCAGAGUGGUGGUUUGCCUGUGAGGUCCCCAGCAGGUUACGGGCUGGAUCGUGGCCCCCCAAAUUCUUAUGUGCAGUCCUAGCCCCAGUACCUCGGAAAGAGCCUCAUUUGGAAAUAGGGUCCUUGCAGAUGUAAUCGCUUAAGAUGAGCAUGGUGGUCCCCAAUCCAGUGACUGGACACAGAGAAAGCACACGUGUGAAGAUGGGCAGAGAUUGGAGCGAUUCCCCUGCAAGCAAGGGUCGCGGGAAGGUCAGCGCUGGGAGACAAGGCCCGCCUUCACCCUCUGGAGGAGCUCAGUGCCAGCACCUGAGCUCAGACUUCUGCCUCCAGACCUGGCAGGUAAUGGAGCUCGGUGGUUGGAAGCCCCCGCAUUAUGGAACUUUGCUACGGCAGCCCCGGGACGGUGGCCUGCUGUCCACUCCGGACACUCCGGGUUUGAGGCCCUGCUCUGCCCUCCCCUCCCCUGCCAUCUCUCCUCACUACCCCUGGCCGCCCAAGCCAGCUGCCCGGUUCACCGAACCACCUAAUUGGCUGCACUUCCUUGGGAGAACCCCGGGGGAUGGUCUGACGAAAGCACAUGCAGAGGAGAAACCUGCCCUAAUUCCGGCAGGUGCCUGCAGGUGAAGAAGCAUCGGCUGGCCCAGCGGGCACGGGUCCCGUGGAUGCAUGGAGUUCCUGCCAGGCUCCCCUCCUGCUAAAGCACCCCAGGUCCUGGGAUCAGAGGCCCCAGUGCCCUUUUGCCCAGGGGAAGGGCCUCGCAGGGCUCUCUUUUCCUGGAACAAAUUCUUGAACUAGAGGGUGCUGGAACAUCCACGUCGACAACAGCGGCCUCCAUGUUCUCAGAGCUUUCCGGUCUGCACCGCACAGCAUCUGCUCCAGUGGAGGUCCGGGUGCCGGGGGAGGGGGGGUGCCUGCCCCAACCAGAGCCCCUGCCGAUGGGUAUAAGGAGGCAGCCCCUUGAGACUGCUCAGGGGUCCGAGGCCAUCAUCCCAUGGUGUCCCCAGCAUCUUCGCACGUGGAGAGGAGGGAGCACGAAGGGACAGGCCUGCUCGGGACAGAGCAGAUGGGCUGGGGUUCCCACCUGCCUCGCUCCCCACUGUGCUUCUCAGCACUGGUGCACUGGAGAAGCAGGAUUCUUCCCUCCCAGCUAUUGGAAGGCAGAAAUGAAAGCCCCCCCCCAAAUUUCUCAUUCCUUUUUGAGCCCCAAGAGCGGAAACGAUGUUGCUCCUGGAGUCGAGACUCCUAUCCGACUCUGGCAUUCAGGGGUGGCGGGACCCUGGGUGCCGCGUGAAGACCCAGGGCUCGGCAGAGGGUUGGGAGGGAAGGAGGGACCCUGGGUAAGUUCUGCGCUCUCCUGGGGCCUCGGUCUUCUCAUUGGUGGGAUGGCCGGUCAGACCAGAGGGUCCAUGUGGUAGGAACCACCCGGCAGCGUGGGCACUCGGUGUUCCAUCCCAGGACGCCCAGGCGCCUAGACAGCUUUUGAGACAAACCCACAGCCCUGCUCUCGGUUUCCCUCCCUCUCCUCUGAGUGAUACGCGGUGCUGGCCCUCUCCAGAGGCCCUGUCCAUCGGGGAUGCCACCUGGCCCAGGGCACUAGUCCUCAUGGCAUUACCAGUGCCCACCGGGAGCCGCCUCUGGGCUGAGUGCUCCUCGGAGUGGCCCCCUGACCUGCAGCCACACUCCCUUUUUCCCUGCUGGCUGCAUCUCUCUGUCACUGUUGAAAGCAGGCACCCAGCUAAAGGAUUACUCUUCCCCUUUUCCCUUCGCGGCCAGGCACGCCCCUGUGACGAGGAUCUAACCGGUGUUAGCUGAGGGUUUGAGCAGACUUCAGGAAAGGCCUCUCAGUAGUCUUCUUUACCUUCCCCCUCCUUCCUCAUCCCUGCUGCCUGGAAUGCAGAUGUGAUGGCUGGACUUCCUGCAGCUGCUACGGAGCCAUCCUUGGCUUCUCCCUUUCAGUACGCCCCCAUCUGGUCUGUCAAGAAAUCCUGCUGAGUCCAUGUUCAGACAGCCUCACUUCCAACCACCUCUCACCACUCCCUCUGUUUCCACCAUGAAGCAGGCUACCAUCAUGUCUCUUUCCUGGAUUGCUACAAUCUUCUCCUCACUGAGGAGCUUCUCCUCUGGUCUCCCCACAGUCUGCUCUCCACACAGCGCCCAGAAGGUCUGACCACAUCUGCUUCCACUCAGCCCCUUCUCACUCAGAGUAAAGGCCAGGCCCUCACAGGUCUGCACAGUCGGCGCCCCGCCAUUCCCCACUGAGCCCCUCCCUAGCACCCCUCCUCGCUGUUCCCCUACAGUCACACUCCCACUGCUGGGGCCCUCCCCAGGCCUUUGCACCAGCUGUGACCUCUGCCUAGACAAUGUCCCCAGACCUUCCUAGGCUGGCUUUUCUACCACCAUGCCUCUGUCCACCCCUUGCCUCCCCUGGAGGCCAUUCUGCCCAUCCUAAUGAAAAUGGCACCGACCCCUCCCUCCCAACCUUCUGCCCCGCCCUGGCUCUUCCCACAGUUUCUACCGCCUUCUGACACGCCCUUGGAUUUACCACUGUGUGUCAUGUCGCGUGCUUCUGGACCAUGUCUCCUACGAAAAGGCAAAUUCUAUAGCAUAGCUGAGGAAUGUAUGACCCUCGGACCCGGAGGAUGGAGGUCGUGGGAGAGGCAGCAGGGCCCAGCCCACCACCCUCCACUGACACAGCAAGCCUGGGGUUCAAGCCACUGCUGUUUGGGGUUUCCUGGUAGAGGUAGCCAAUGGCAAUCUUCAACUGUUACCCUCUCCACUUUACAGAUGGGGAAACUGAGGCUCGGAGAGGCGGAGCAACUUGCUCAAGGCCACGUAACUUGCUGGACCUGGGUCUCCACCCGAGCCUCGGAUUCCUCUCCUGAGACAGUGCGCUCACCAACGCCCUCCCGCGGCAGAGGCAGGAAAUCACGUCUCGCCAAAGGGCCUGGGGCACCGCAGGCCCCCACUCGCAGCAUGGCCCGUCCCUUCCUCGGCAAGUGGCCACGGGGGCUGCUACCAUCUCUGCAGGGGAAAGACCAACCUCCUCUCACGGGACUGUUGGUGGCUCACAGGCCCUCGUGCGCUGGGGAUGGAGAGGGCAGUCACAGCACCGGCGACGGCCGAGUCAGAGGUGAAGCAGGCCACGUGUGGGAAGCAGCAAGUGUGUUCGGGACGUGGACACCGUCACUGCCAGCUGGUGUCAUUGUCAUUGUUGCUUCGGUGCCCAGAUAAACACAGAUGACA